rfam:Geomicrobium sp. JCM 19039 DNA, contig: JCM19039.contig00007.
ACCACCCGAUUGAACCGAAGGCUUGCGUUUAUAUGUGAGCUACUUAGUAGGUGAUAUUGGGUGGC